AGUGAACGCUGGCGGUAGGCCUAACACAUGCAAGUCGAACGGCAGCACAGGAGAGCUUGCUCUCUGGGUGGCGAGUGGCGGACGGGUGAGGAAUACAUCGGAAUCUACACUGUCGUGGGGGAUAACGUAGGGAAACUUACGCUAAUACCGCAUACGACCUACGGGUGAAAGCAGGGGACCUUCGGGCCUUGCGCGAUUGAAUGAGCCGAUGUCGGAUUAGCUAGUUGGCGGGGUAAAGGCCCACCAAGACGACGAUCCGUAGCUGGUCUGAGAGGAUGAUCAGCCACACUGGAACUGAGACACGGUCCAGACUCCUACGGGAGGCAGCAGUGGGGAAUAUUGGACAAUGGGCGCAAGCCUGAUCCAGCCAUACCGCGUGGGUGAAGAAGGCCUUCGGGUUGUAAAGCCCUUUUGUUGGGAAAGAAAUCCAGCUGGCUAAUACCCGGUUGGGAUGACGGUACCCAAAGAAUAAGCACCGGCUAACUUCGUGCCAGCCGCCGCAGUAA
rnacentral:rRNA from 1 species